rnacentral:rRNA from 1 species
GAUGAACGCUGGCGGCGUGCCUAAUACAUGCAAGUCGAGCGAACAGACGAGGAGCUUGCUCCUCUGACGUUAGCGGCGGACGGGUGAGUAACACGUGGAUAACCUACCUAUAAGACUGGGAUAACUUCGGGAAACCGGAGCUAAUACCGGAUAAUAUAUUGAACCGCAUGGUUCAAUAGUGAAAGACGGUUUUGCUGUCACUUAUAGAUGGAUCCGCGCCGCAUUAGCUAGUUGGUAAGGUAACGGCUUACCAAGGCGACGAUGCGUAGCCGACCUGAGAGGGCGAUCGGCCACACUGGAACUGAGACACGGUCCAGACUCCUACGGGAGGCAGCAGUAGGGAAUCUUCCGCAAUGGGCGAAAGCUUGACGGAGCAACGCCGCGUGAGUGAUGAAGGUCUUCGGAUCGUAAAACUCUGUUAUUAGGGAAGAACAAAUGUGUAAGUAACUAUGCACGUCUUGACGGUACCUAAUCAGAAAGCCACGGCUAACUACGUG